AGGUGUACAGGCACGUGAUGGCUGUAGAGGACCUUGUUAUUUAAAACUGUUGCAGAUUCUUAGAAAAAGACUAAAAGAAAGUCAACUCUGAAGUGAACUGAUUUCACUAGUAACCCCCGAUUUUAGGCUAUUAAUGACUUAAAGACUUCCAGACCCAGAGUUAUAUUCAAGCUAGCCUAGAUUUACUCUGAAACUGACCUUUUCUGACAUCUUUUCUUUGCUAUCUUAAACCAGUUAGUAAUCCAUGGAAAGAUUUUCUCACAUACAGUUACAGCUUAGUUCCCAUAACUGGAAUUCUAUAAAGCUUUUCUAAAUCCAAGUGUAUUGUAUCAAACCAGAGCUGCAUAUAUAACUCCUUCAAAGAAUACUGGAAAAUUGAUGAGAACAGAGUGAUAAACAGUUUCUAAAAAAUGGACAAACACCUAUAAACAGAUGGAGGUGAAAGCUCCAAAACUACCUUCUUUUCAACUCGGCUUUCUGUGAUCCUUCCAUCCACUACUCUCUGCUAUUGCCAUUACUGUGAUUGUUGCACUCAAGCUGCAGCUCUGAGGACAGACAAAUUGCAAUAUCCUGCUGAUACAAAAGAAGCUUCAGCUAUUGUAUUCAAUGGAGGAUGCAACCUCUGGAGGUGCAUAUUGUGUGUCUCCCAGAUCAGCCUAUUGAUCAGAAGCUUUCAAGAUUCCUAAGACCCUACAUUGCAGUUCAUCUUCGGACAUAUU